rnacentral:rRNA from 1 species
ACAACUUUCAACAACGGAUCUCUUGGUUCUGGCAUCGAUGAAGAACGCAGCGAAAUGCGAUAAGUAGUGUGAAUUGCAGAAUUCAGUGAAUCAUUGAAUCUUUGAACGCACAUUGCGCCCCUUGGUAUUCCAUGGGGCAUGCCUGUUCGAGCGUCAUU